rnacentral:lncRNA from 1 species
AUGAUGAAUUAGGUGCUCAGAGAGUUCCUGACACUUGCCAAGGUCGUUCGGCUGGGCAAUACCUGAACCAUUUGGACAUAGGCUGGGGACGUGGGCCAGAUGCUGUAUUAAUCAAAACUGGAGCUCACAAGAUUUGCCUGAUAGUGAACCUAGGACUGUCAUUUUGGAACUGCUUAAAUCCCACUUUUCUGUUUCAAUUCCAAAAGCCCUGGCUAUGAGAAUGAGGGAGAGGCCAAGAGCACAGAGCAGGCAAAGCUGGCAAGACAACCGCAGGUUCUCCCCCUGCCACUGGAGGGGCUCUUCUGCCCUUGCUGCUCACCAGUCUCUACUCUCAUCUUGUUGAAUCGGCUGCUCAGUCUCCUGUGGCACAGCCAUAUGUAUUCAAACUCAUGUAGGCACAAAGGGCCUGGUGGGGAUUGAAACUCAGGUCUCUGAAGUGGCAUAAUGUGUGCCCCUUUGCUCUGCUAAGGUUACAGGUAAUGUAUUAGCUGCAAGUUCUGAGUGUCAAUUCAGCUUUUUUCUGGCUACCCAACCUUCUGCCAGGUGCUGGACAAUUGCUCUCAUGAUGGUCCAGUACUGCUCUAAGCCUGAGUCUCCUUCCUGUCCCCUGUGCUCCAAGAUUGAUAACUAGAUUGCUGCCCCAACCCUUGGAUUCAAGCCUCUUUUAAUAACCCAUUACUCCCAUGAUCCCCAAUCUUUCAAAGACUGAGCCCCCAACUUUCCUUCUUGGCUAUCCUUCUAUCCUCAAAUAGAAGCUUCCGCAAAAGCCAAACAUGUAGCUUGAGCCCAGCUCCUUGAUGAAAGAGCUGAGGCUGCUAACUUGCCACCCACUAAUUUCUAAGCCUGUCCUCCCUCAUGUUCUUGUUAUUCUGUCUUUCCUGUCUGCCAAGCCUUAUUUUAUAAUCUCACAUUUCACCCUGAUGCUAAUAAAUAGGACAAAGACCAGGAACCCCAUAACUGGCAGAAUAAGAUCUCAACUGUUUAACAUAGAGAAGGUGU